CCUACGGGAGGCAGCAGUGGGGAAUAUUGCACAAUGGGGGAAACCCUGAUGCAGCGACGCCGCGUGAAGGAAGAAGUAUCUCGGUAUGUAAACCUCUAUCAGCAGGGAAGAAAAUGACGGUACCUGACUAAGAAGCCCCGGCUAACUACGUGCCAGCAGCCGCGGUAAUACGUAGGGGGCAAGCGUUAUCCGGAUUUACUGGGUGUAAAGGGAGCGUAGGCGGUUUAGCAAGUCAGAAGUGAAAGCCCGGGGCUCAACUCCGGGACUGCAUUUGAAACUGUUGAACUGGAGUGCAGGAGAGGUAAGUGGAAUUCCUAGUGUAGCGGUGAAAUGCGUAGAUAUUAGGAGGAACACCAGUGGCGAAGGCGGCUUACUGGACUGUAAAUGACGCUGAGGCUCGAAAGCGUGGGGAGCAAACAGGAUUAGAUACCCGUGUAGUC
rnacentral:rRNA from 1 species